UUCUAAAAUUUGCUCAAAACGGUGCCGUUGGUUAGAGGAACCCUAACCAGUAACCAAAACGCGCAGCACCUCCUUGGCCUCUCCUCUCUCACAGUCUCACUCAGCCACUCUCCUCCUUCCUCUCAUCGAGCUCCUCCUCACUCCCUCACUUCCCUCUCUCUUGCCUCUGAACGAACACACUGAAGAACGCAGAGAAGACAGAAGAGAACUCGGACGCAGCUUGGAGGAAGCACCGAAGCAGCCAUCUCUCGUCGCCGUUCCUCAACGUCCAGCCACCGCCGCUGCUACAGCUUCGGCGCAACGUCGCCCUUGUUCGCCGCGCAUCCGCCUCCUUUUUGGCCAAGCUUCUGCGUCUGUUUUUUGGCCAACCCUUGUUCGAACUGCUUAGCCCUCUGUUCAGUCCUCUACGCCGCGUGUUCGAGCCUCUGUUCAGCCUCUGUUCCGCGGCCUUUCAGCCACCGUUCCGCCAUUGUCUGCCUCCAUUCAGCCAUCUCCGUCGCGAUUUAAAGCUCCUCCCUUUCCCUGUACUGUUUGAAUUUCAGAACUGGUCCAUCCUAGGAGUUGGCGUGUUUGGAGAGUCUUGACAUUUCUUGCAGUAAAGUCGCUAAUUUUGGCAUCAGCUUUCUAAAAGGGUACAUCAUCAACUGUUAACUAUGACAAAAUCUUGGCUAAUGCGGUUACCAAGACCAACAUACUUGUUGUUGAAGGGUAUCUAUUUGAACUACCCGAUACUAUUAGAGCAAUAACAGAAGUAUGUCAGAAAGCUCGCAGUAACGGUGCCUUAGUUGCAGUAACAGCCUCAGAUGUCUCCUGCAUUGAGAGACACUAUGAUGAUUUCUGGGAAAUUAUUGGGAAUCAUGC